rnacentral:lncRNA from 1 species
AAUCAACAUAUCUUUCUCUAAAUUUUGAGUCUCAAAUGUUGAAUUUGUGAGUUGAAUAAAUUGUAUUUACAAUAAAGUGGUGAUAAACAAAAAAGAUUUUCAAAUUUUUAUACCUUCAAAUGCACUAAACGCCUUACAAAUUAGUAAGCGAACAAACACAGUUUCUUGUUUGCAUAAUCUUGAAAUGUGUGGAUACACAAGCAAUUUUAUUGAGUUUCUUUUUAACUUCCUUCUGAACUUUUAUGGCCGCUUUAGCGGCCGCUUUCUCUGCCAACUUUUUUUCAUUUCCAACGCCUACUUAGCUUAAUUUAGUCGUCUCCUACUCUCGCUUCAAUUCUUUCAAUUUCACCUUGUCAACUUCAUUUUUGUUUGGAAGAGGAAUUUCUUUCGGCUUUUCCAACUCAAAUAUUGCCUCUCUAUCUUUCAGUACUUUUGCAAGAGGAAUUUUUUUGGAUCGGAUUGUAGCUUGUAUCGUCCCCGUCAUGAUUUUGCAAGUAUAUUUUGACUCUCCUCUCAAAAGUUUCUGAUUCCGCCACUGCUUUUAAUGUAUGACAUUUAUACAGAUUAAUACACAAGUUUAAAAUUUAAUUAAUUGCAUCAUGUUAAAUAAAAUAAAAUAAAAAAUCUUUAUUAUUUUAUAAAUAGAACUUUUUUGUGAAAUGAAAAGAAUAUUACUGUAUUUGUGUACUUAAAAAAUUUCUCUCAUUAUGUGAAAAAACUGAUGGGCAAAGCGUUCAUAUAAAAUGAUAAAAUAAUUCUCUUAAAGUUAAAAUAUGAACAUGGGCUCAGAGGUUUUGGGCAACCAUGUAAUAAUAAUUAUUUAUAUAAAAUUUAUUAAUUUUAUUUUAAAUUUUUUAGAAUUUGACUCUAAAAAUCAAAAUUAGAGUUGAGGUGAUGGAAUAGUAAUGUACAUUGUUCUUCCCAAAAAAGAGGAUUAAGUUGAUUUUUCAAAGUCAAAUUAUUAUAUUUUUAAAUUUAAAAUUUGGUUUAAUUCAAUUAACUUUUAAAAACGAUAAAUUGUAUAAUUAGUAGUACUAUUUAAAUAAUUCAUAAUUUUUAUAAUUGUAUUUUCUAAAAUUAAAUUAAUUCAUAUUAAUUUUGCAUAUAAAAAUAUUUUAAAUUAAAUACUCCAUAUUAUUUAUGUGUGAUAAAUAUAAAUAAUAUGAAAUAUUUUAUUAAAUUAAAAAUUUACAUUAAUAAUUAUUAUCUUAAUUAAAAUGAAUGAAAUUAUUUAUAGUUUUAUUACAAUUUUUAUAAUACUAAUUAUUUAAAUUUAAACUACAUUUAUUUUACUUAUAUUAUAUUUUGCAACGGAGGAAUAUUAAUUUAAACUACAUUGCUUAAUUGUAGGCAACGGAGGAAUAUAUUGUUUUAUAUUAUAGGCAACGGAUGAAUAUAUUGUUUAAUUAUAGGCAACAGAUGAAUAUAUUGUUUAAUUAUAGGCAACAGAUGAAUAUUAAUUAAACUACAUUGUUUAACUAUAGGCAACGAAAGAAUAUAUUGUUUUUUACAUUGUUUUUGGCAACCGAGAAAUAUAUUGUUAAAUUAUACAAAUUGGGAUAUGUUGACUAAUAUAAGUCGAAAGUAGUUAAAUUAAUUUCAACUCAUAUUUGUAAUUUAUAAUAUGAGUUCAAAACUAAACCAACCUAUAACAUAAAAAAUAGUUAACCAACCCAAUUAGAUUCAAAUACUUUUAGUUAAUUAGAUGAUUUUCAACUUAAAUUGUCAAUCGUGUUAAGUCUGUAUGUAUUCAUUCCGCUUAAUAUAACAUUACACAGAACACCUCAGCUGUCAACAUACUAGUUAGGGUUCUGGGCAACUCCAACAGCACAAUCUUAGACUAUAUCACUACAAGAAAAGGGUUUAUCUUCGACGGAAGUAACUCCGACGGAAUACAUUCAGUCGAUCUUAUAGUGUUACCGACGGAAUAUUCUGUCGAACCUAAUUCGGUCAGAAAUAACAUAAAUGCGACCGAAUUCGGUCGAAAAUAUGUCUGAGUAAAGGCGCCAAAAAGCCCGCCAGCGCGAAUUAUUAUCUUGACAGAAUAUUAGUAAUUUCGACAGAAUGUUCGUCGACUUUACCGUAUCCUCGACAGAUAUAAUGUCGACGGAAUUCCGUCGAAAUUGUUAAAUAAAAACAGAUCUGCAGAUUCAUUUCAGUCGCUGCUCUCUGUCUCUCUGUCUCUCAGACGACUUCUCGCCUUCUCAGACGACCCAUCUCUACGCCACCUCCGACCACCACCUACGACACCUCAGACCACCACCGGUACCUGCGCCACCUUCGACACCUCAGACCACCACCGGUACCUGCGCCACCUCCAUUCCAAAACCGAUUUUCCACCACCUGCGACCACCACCUGCGACCACCACCUCUGACCACCAGCCUUUUAAAUUUCAGAACGAUUUGUCAUUAAGGUUAGGUUUAAUUUAUGUUUUAAUUUUUGAAUUUUGAUUGUGUUGUAUAUGUGUAAUUUUAGCUACUGAGUUGGGAAAUUAAUGGAAAUUAUUAUAAAUGCUUCGAAAAUUAGCUACUGAUUGUGCUGUAUUGUGGCUACUGAUUUAUGUUUUCAUGUAUUCAUGUAUUAAUGAAAUUGGCUACUGAUCAUUUGGGUAAUGAAAAUAUUGUGUACUGAUUUUAGGUUUUGGAAAUUUUGGGUACUAUAUGCUUAAUUGACUCAGUAGGACUGAUUUUGGGUAUUCUUGAAAUUGGCUACUCACUCAUAUGCUUAAUUGACUCAAUUAGGACUGAUUUUGGGACUGCCUUAAUUAUUUGGGAAUACUUUACUUAUGUUGUGUAUAUAUGAAUUAUGUUUGCAAUAUUAUGUCUUUAUCUUGCCUGAUUGUUCUUACUGAUUUGGUAUAUUUUCUAUUUCCGACAGAAUUCUCGACGAAAUUCUUAUCAGAAUUCUUCAAUUACAAUAUAUGUGGGCCUUGCUUUAUUUUCUUUUAAUUAGUUUCUAAUAUUAAAAUAUACUAAGUAACAUUUACUUAUUUUAAAAUAAAAUAAAAUAAAAAAUAUGAUAUAAUAUAAUACAACUUAUAUUUAAAUUAAUUAAAUUUAAUUAAUGUAAGAUAAUAAAAUUUAAAUAAAUUAAAUAUUAUAAUAUAAUAUAAUACAAAUAAAUAAUUUAAUUUAAAAUAAAAUAAAGUAAAAUGUGUGCGUACUGGGAUGAUGCUGCGUUCAAGACCAAGUCAGAGCAGAUGAAGAAGAAUCGAGGCAAGCUGCGAGUUGUACAUACUUCUCGCUCGCAGUCGUUUCAGGAGGUUAAAGCGGUAUGUAUUUAUCUUUAAUUUAGUUUAAUAUUAAACUGCAACUAUAGUAAUUUAAGUUGAUAUUAUUUAAUGUAUAUGAUUUAGGCCAUGCGGAGUAGCUUGGGUCGACCUCCUACUAUGAUGGAGUUCUGGGAUAGAGUCCAUACGCCGAAGAGCUCUACUUCGGGGUCGACGAUGUCUCCAGCAGCACUAGCUAUACGGGUAAUACAUUUACUAUAAUAAAUAUUAUUUAGGAUAAUAUAACGUAAUUUAUAUGAUGAUACCAAGAUAACUCACAUGUACAUAUAUCAAAUUACAGGAGCGGUUUGAGAAGAUCCGCAGCCAGCGUAUAGCGGAGUUGCAGGCUGCUCAGUGCCGGCCCUGAGUUUUUCAGGGCCUAAAGCGAAGAAAAAAAAAUUUGGACCCUUUGCGAAUUGCUAUUAAGAUAAGUAUAAAAAAAACUAAGAACUUUCUCUGAACAAAAGAGCAUAAAUACAAAAGAAUACCAAAUAUAAUAACCGACUAUUUCAAUAUUUUCAAAACAUCAUUCAGAUAUCGCAUUAUCACUAACUCAAAAAAGUAAUCAGUUCAAAGACAUAAUAUCAUCAACAGAGGGGUGGAUGAUAUCAUCAACAGCUCCUCUUGAAUAACACUCACUUAUAAUGGGAAAUUAUAAAUAAAGAAGCAUAAAAUUUUAUAGUUCAGGUAAUGGAAUGUAACAUUACUGAAUUUCAAAUAGUUUCACAGAUAUCAAUCAGGGGGUGACAUAUCCAAGCUAUGACAAGAGUUAACCUGUUUGGUUAUUCUUUAAAUAGUACCCAUGGUAGAUAGUGUAUAACUCAAAAUCUUCCCAGCAAGAGUUUACCUAUUUUCUUUUUAUUAUAUUGGCUAUAUUAUGACCUCAGUCUUUAACUGUCAAAUUUUAAUACCAAUAAGUAAAGUACGCAUGACCCAUAGUCUAUUAAUAGAGAUAAUCGUAAAGUCUGCACUAGCCAGAUUAAGAGAAAAAAUGGGAUUAUACAUAUUUGUAAAGAAACACAAGAAUGAGUAAAGACAUAAUUAUGAUGGACAAAUGCAUAGACUAACAAAGAUUGAAAUUAAUUGAGACAUAUUGAAGUAAUUAUUUUUUAAUUUAUGUGAACUGGUUGAUAUUUUUUUUAAAUGUACAUAUUAGAAUUUUUAAUAAUGUUGGAUCUAGUUUUACUUAUGUAAUAAUUUUAUUUGUCAAAAUUUUAAAUAUUUUAGAGAAUGAUUCUACAUAAUCAAUUAUACUCAUCCAUUAGAAUAAAAUUAGUCAUGCACUGAUUGUAUGAUAUAAGAAAAAGGGGCCCUAAAAAAUUUUGGGCCUAAAGCCUGGGCACCCUGGGCUUUAGCCCAGGGCCGGUGCUGAGGCUGCUAGGGACAAUGCUGAGACGUUAGAUUCCACCGUCCCUCCGCCCGAGAUUAGUUUAUCUCAGGACGAGGAGACGGCUCUUUGGGUCGCAUCUCAGGAUACUCCCACUAGUACUAGCGACCGGUAUCGAGUGCUGGGGUUACCGAGGAUACCAGCCUAUACACUGCAAGGAGGUAUAAUAUUUUUAGUUUAUUUCUUGUUUAUGAAUAAAGAAAAUUCGCCAUAUUAUUCAUGUUAUAUUUAUUUUUGUAUGCUUACUACAAGAAAAAUGGCCAUCUGCGACCAAUGAUAUCAGCGACCGCACUAUCUGGUCGCUGAUAAUAGUAAUAGUGACCGAUAUCUGUGACCGAUAAGGAUUCUCGUCGCUACUAUAUAUCAGCGACCGCAUGUGGUCGUUGAUCGGUCCCUGAGAAUAAUUUCCCUCCUAAAAUUUGGUGCGAAACUUUGGCGCGGCGACCAAUCUGUAUCAGCGACCGCUUGCAGUCCCUGCUAUGUCCACAUCAUUAAAAAUCAGCGACCGCGUGCAGUCGCUGAUGGCGGUCGCUGAUGCUCAUAAACUUAAUCAGGUUCAGUAGUUCGCUCGAUAUCUGCAAAAGAAAAAAAAAGAGGGAGAACAGACGAGAGGGAGAAGCGGGAGUAGGGGGAAAAGAGAAGAGGGGGUGCCGCCUUCACCACGAGCUAUUGUGCCAUUUUUUUCUACUUCUUCAUUACAAGUCCGAGUUGCACCAUUACAACCUCAAACGAAAGGUAAAAAAGUUCCAAAUCCUUAGUUUUGUAAUGUCCCCUCUAUAUAUAUCUUGUUCAAUUUAGGGUUUCUCCUUUAGGGUUUUGUUCAACUAUUGAUGUUGUAAUUGUUAUUGAUUCUGAUUUGGUUUUGUGAAUGAAGAUUUGGGUUUUUGUUAAUUUAUUAAUUAAUAUGGAAUUACUCAAUUAGUGAAUACUGUAUUUGUGAAUGUUUGAUGUUUUAAUAGUUGAGUUAUCUGCAAAUUGUCCUAAAAUAGAAAGCACACUGUUUAAUAUGUUGCUACAAUAGGUGAUUCUGUGUAUGGUGUUUGGGCUAAACAAGCAAUUAGCUAAAAUGACAUUGAUUAGUGCUUAAUGGUAUAGUAGUAUAAGUGUUUUGGUAACUGAAAUUUUCAAAAGCAACAUUCUUCUUUUUGAGCCUUUCUUUAAAUUCAUAUUUUAAAACUUUAUUUGUUGUCUUUCCUUGUUUGUCAUAAAAAAAAGUAGCCACAUUCAUUUUUGUAUAUACUCUUAUUGGAUUUCUCAUUCCAUUUUCUUACUUGUCUAAUAUUUGGAACAUAUUCGUACAACUAUGAUGUGGACUUAAGGUUGUUUUGGGUAUGAAAAGAUUGAACUCAGUUUUCAAACAUGCUAGAGUAUGUGCUUAUGAGUUUUCAUGGUGAUUUAAGGUUUAUAGGAAUGCUUAAAGACCAUAUGUGUUCUCUAUUGUAGAUUGUUGGGGAUUUGAUAGCCAAAAUUGUGCCUAUAAAGGACUGUUUUGGCCAACUUGUGUGACUGGUGUUGUUAGACAGUCAGGAGUACAUACAUUGCCUAUAGAUAACAUUUAAAUUAAUGGUUCCCUAAGUUAGUUAAGGUCUACAUGGUGUGUUGUGCAAAUUCUUGCUUAAAAAUCAAUAAAAAUAAGCUUUAUAGAACAAUGAACACUAAAUUAGUGAACCACCAUACUUGGACCCCAUACACAAGUUUUAAUAGUCAUAAUAGGACAUAAGAAAACUACACAAACUAAAGGAACCAAGCCUAAGCCAUUUUGAGCAUGAGACUUGUUAAAAAUCACAUUUUAAAGCCAAAAAUGGACUGUUUUGGACAAUUCAUAGUACCCGACCUUAAAGGACUAUUAUUAGCAGAUACAAAGUUGCUCAUACAUGCUAGUAAUGAUUCCCAAACAUGGUCAUUACGAAAGCCAACAAGAAAACAAAUUUAAGCUCUCUUUUCAAGCCUAAAGUGAGCUUAGAUAAGUUAAAAUGAGUUAGAUGAUUAACACUACAAGAAAAAGGCCUAACAGCGACCAAUAUUAUCAGCGACUGCAUGUCCGGUUGCUGAUAAUACUAAUAGCGACCAACAUCAGCGACCUUAAUGUAAUCUAGUCGCUGAUCAGUCGCUAACAUGAAUUUCCCUCCCAAAAAUUGGUGCCAAUAGUUGGCGCGUUGGUUUGUUGCGACCAAUAUAUAUCAGCGACUGCUAGCGGUAGCUAACUCAUCCACGUCAUUAAAAAUCAGUGACCGCAAGUGGUCGUUGAAGGCGGUUGCUGAUCGUCUAAAACUUAUCCAGACUCAGACAUUCGUUCUUUCAGCAGACGAGAGAAGAAAACGAGGGAGAACAGAAAAGGGAGAAGAGGGAGAAGGGGGAGAAGAGAAGAGGGAGAGAGAAAUUGAGCGCCGCCGCUCGCCGCCACUAUCCGCUGCCAUCGCCGCCGCCACAGGUAACCCUAAUUCUCUUUAUUUCUGAAUUGGAUAUAGAUUGGGUGUUAUUGAACUUUUUCCCCACUGCAUUUUUCUUCGAGUUUGGGUAUUCUACCUUAUUGGUAGUAUGUAAUUUAUUUCAUAUGCAUGCCACAUUGACAUAAUUGCUAACAAUGUGGUCAGAAAUUAUGUAAGAAGCAAUUUGGGUUUGGUUAGAAGUUCAAUUAAAUAAAAAUUAAUUGAGUUAAUUUGGUUGGUAUGCUUUAUACUCCAUUUUUGAUUGUAAAAUUGAAAAGUUGUGAACCACUUCAUAAUCUUAUUUAUGGUAUUGAAUCUAUGUAUUUAUUUAUUAUUGGAAUUCUAGGUGUAUGAAUGUAUAUUUGCCAUAUUUUCAUGCCAAUAUAAAAACAAUAGUGGUGUAAAUUUUGUGUUCUUUUAAAAUUCAGCAACAAUCUUUUCUCUUGUCUCUCCUCGACCUCUAAUAUUUAUAUGUACAAGAGAAUUGAUAUAUUUGGUAGGAACUGUCUCUUCAUUGAUAUGUAAAAUCAACAUCCAUCCAUAGUCAUACCACAAAACUUAUUUAAACUAUGUUUGUUUGCAAGAAUUAUAAUCUCAAUAUUAUUAAUCUUAGAAUUAUAAUCCCGAGAUUAUAAUUAGAAUGUCAAGAGUCUCAAGUUUAAAUUUGAAAAUAAACAAGACACUUAGUGUAAGACCCCGAAUUUUAUGAAAUAAAAGUAUUCAAUUUUCCUAUUUAGUAAAUGGUUAAAUUGAUAAAAAGCAAAGUUAAGGGUGAUAUAUGAAUUUUUUUUUCAAAAUAAGCAAGUGGCUAUAAAAUACUUAUUGUUGUCGGGGAAUAUUCGUUUGGUCGUGGAAUAUUCUUCUUGUCGGGAAUAUCCGUACGACGACGCAGUCAUUUGUGGGCCCCAUAACAGAAUAACUGUCAGAUGAAGAAAACGACAAGUUUGAGUUUUUAUAAAUAACGGCGUAAUGGUUACCGUUAACAUUGUUGGAUUACCUGGGGGUUAAAUUACAGUAAUACGCGUGGUUGCACAGUAGCACACGAUUUUGCACAGUAUUGAUGAAUUAUUGAUCCUUAUGUAAGAAGGCACUACUCAAUAAUUGUUACAGUAAUUACUGUUCAAUAUUUUAUUUUAUUGAAUCAAUAAUUGCUGCGUUGAUAUUUUAUAUUAUUGUUGUUUCAAUAAUUGUCACUGCACAGUAUCUCCAUUAUCAGAUCAAUAAUUCAUAUUAUUUGAAUAAUAUUAUUAGAUAGCAUUAUUGGCAAUGUCUAGAAAGUUCUGUCAAGGAGAGGUUUUGGUCACCUAAUUGCGCGCUAGUAAGGAGAAAUCCUUAUCGGAAAGCCCCCUCUUUCCUGGGAACUGCCUGGUUGUCAUUAUUGUGAUUCUGUAAUAUUAUUUGUAAAUAAUUAAUUAUUGAUUUAUAUGAUAAGGAAAUAUUUAUUUGAUGUGGAUAUAAAUGAUGGAUUUAUUUAUGUGGUUAUAAAUGAAGGAAUUAAUGUUGAGGUAUUUUAUCAGUAUUUUGUCGGAUUGGAGGUAUUAAAAGAUCAAAUCAGUGUUCUUACAGCUUUAUUGCGUGAGUUAUAAUUUUUAAUCUGACCGUUAGAUCGUUGUGAUUUUUGGAUAUGUUAUACAUAUAUAAGUUGAGUAUAUGUUCACAAAUUUUGAACUGUUAAAAAUGAACGAAUGAUUUGUUAUAAAUUUUAAGAGGUGACUAAUUCAGAAAUUAGGUUUAUAAAUGAUUUUGGUGAAAAAUUCUAGAAAUGGGUGUGCCCCACUUUUGGUUGUUGGGGAAGAUGACUGAUUUUUGGUGGGUGGAAUAGUAGCAGGUAAAGCCAUCAGGUAGCAGGUCAAGUUUGCUUCGACGUGCUAAUAUUUUCCUAUAAAUAGAGGGCUAAGUUAGAAUUAAAAAUCACACCAGAAUUCAUAAGUUUUCUCUCUUUUUCUCACAAGAUUAUCGAGUGUAUUUUGUGAGUAUUUAGAUACUUGGUGAGUUGUUAUUCAUCAGUGCAAGUUUCCUUCAGCGUCAUAUCUGACAUCUAGUCAGAAGUGCUGCUCUUUUGAGGUAAAUGAUAGUAAGGGAUAUUAAGGGAUGUUAUAUUCUUCAUAAUGAUGUUAUUCUUUCAAUAUCAUUAUACUGACAUAUUGGUAUGGAUCUUAUUGUGGAAUUUCUACCUUCUUGAGUCGGGGUUACUAUUCACGUAUACAUCACUAUUCACGUAUACGACACUAUUCAUGUAUAUGGCACUAUUUACGUUUAUGACAUUAUUUAUGUAUACGGUACUAUGUACGAAUACAGAGUACUAUUCACGAAUUACUAUUCAUGAGUUACUAUUCACGAGUUACUAUUCACAGGUACUAUUCACGAUUAAAAUUGGUUUCUUUUUCUGACCAAAUUAUCGUUGAUUUAUGAUUGUUGCUCUUGAAAUAAAUGCAGUUGUUGAUCAUAUUGUUUUUAUUAUCAUAUAUAACAUUUUUAUAACCCUGAUGUUGAAUUUCUCUUUCACUUGAGUGUAAAGAUGGGUAGAUUAUUGGUAUGAUCGUGACUAUGGGUUCUCUUUGGCCANNNNNNNNNNNNNNNNNNNNNNNNNNNNNNNNNNNNNNNNNNNNNNNNNNNNNNNNNNNNNNNNNNNNNNNNNNNNNNNNNNNNNNNNNNNNNNNNNNNNNNNNNNNNNNNNNNNNNNNNNNNNNNNNNNNNNNNNNNNNNNNNNNNNNNNNNNNNNNNNNNNNNNNNNNNNNNNNNNNNNNNNNNNNNNNNNNNNNNNNNNNNNNNNNNNNNNNNNNNNNNNNNNNNNNNNNNNNNNNNNNNNNNNNNNNNNNNNNNNNNNNNNNNNNNNNNNNNNNNNNNNNNNNNNNNNNNNNNNNNNNNNNNNNNNNNNNNNNNNNNNNNNNNNNNNNNNNNNNNNNNNNNNNNNNNNNNNNNNNNNNNNNNNNNNNNNNNNNNNNNNNUGGUCUAUAGCUGUUGAGGUUCUCCCUAAAUAGUAUAAAAAUAAUUUUAUUGAGACUUUAGAUAAGUGUGUCGUAUUAUAUACGUCAUUUGAUAUUUAAUUUUGGUGAACCGAAUAGGGUGAGGUGAACUCAACUUUGGAAGGGUGUUUUGCCACUAUCAUACAAGAUGUCUAAAGACAUACAACCUCGUGUUAUCAUAAGACAGGGUUGUGCUCAUCCACUUACUGAGAAAAUUAAAAGAAAAAAACAUUGUAGAAUUGAGGGCAAAUAUAACGAAGCAAAGCUAAGUAUUCCCUCUGUCUUGUACUUGAGGGCAAAUAUAACAACCAAAACCAUGUUCAUGUAUUUGAGUACCAUGUCAAGUCUACACUAUAGAAUUUUGUACAAAUGGUGGGCACAUGAGCAGAGAAGAGGGGGUGGCAUCAUAGAAGUACACAAUUCGGGCAGUAGUACUCAUCGUAUGAAUGAAAUGGUUCAUGAUAUUGCAGGGCCAGAUUUUGAUUGGGAACAAGGUAGAGAGCAACCUAUGAAUUCUGAUGCCAAAGACUUCUUUAAGUUGUUAGACGAAGGUAGCGAGCCACUGUGGCAUGGUUGCACCAAACACACUACAUUGUCUGCAGUGGAGACAUUACUUAACAUCAAGGCUGAUCACAACAUGAGUCAUGAGUGUUUUGAGUCGCUCUUGAAGGCCAUUAAGAGUAUGUUGCCUGACGGUGAGAAAUUGCCUGGUAACUAUUACUUUUGUAAAAAAAUGGUGAAGAAGUUGGGUCUUGGAUACCAAAAGAUCGAUGCAUGUCCCAACGAUUGCAUGUUGUUUUAUAAGGAAAAUUUGCACGUUUUGCAGUCAUGAUCGGUUUAGGCCUAAUAAAGAGGGUGUGACUACAAAAAAAUCAAGUAUACCGUUUAAGAUUCCAAGGUAUUUUCCAAUAACACAUCGGCUAAAAAGAUUGUACAUGUCUUCAAGAACAGCUGAACAUAUAAGUUGGCAUGCGAAAUCUCCAGCUAAAGAUGGAGAACUAAAUCAUCCCGCAGAUGGGCAGGCUUGGAAAGAUUUCAACUUAUCACAUCCUGAGUUUGCAUUGGAACCUAAAAAUGUGAGGCUUGGAUUGUCCAUCGAUGGUUUCAAUUCGUUUGACCACUCAGCUGUUCCGUACUCAUGUUGGCCUGUGAUUGUUACUCCGUACAACUUGCCUCCUUGGAUGUGUAUGAAACAGCCAUACUUGUUUCUUUCACUCGUGGUUCCUGGUCCUAAGAGUCCUGGAAAGAACUUAGAUGUUUACUUGAGACCUCUUAUAGACGAGUUGAAGGUAUUGUGGGAGGAUGGAGUACAGACUUGGGAUGUUACAACGAAAACAAAUUUCAACCUUAGGGCAGCGGUUAUGUGGACUAUAAGUGACUUCCCAACUUAUGGUAUGUUAGCUGGAUGGAGUACACACGGGAAGUUGGCUUGUCCGUAUUGUUUGGAGCAUACAAAGUCGUUUAAUCUAUCAAAAGGUCGAAAGCCUUGUUGGUUUGACUGACAUCGUCGGUUCUUGCCGGUAGAUCACCCGUUUCGAAGAAAUAGAGAAUACUUCAGGAAAGGGAAAGUAGACAAUGAUAUGCCUGCACCGCGAUUAUCGGGAACGGAGAUGCGAGAUCGUGUGAUGAGAUUGCCGGUUAUCCCAUUUGGUAAGAUUGAUGCCACAAACAUAAUCAAUGGGUUUGGCGAAUCUCAUAACUGGGUUCUGAGAAGCAUCUUUUGGGAACUGCCUUAUUGGUCUACAAAUUUGAUUCAUCAUAAUCUAGAUGUGAUGCAUAUUAAGAAGAAUGUGUUUGACAAUGUGUUUAACACUGUGAUAAAUGUUAUAGGGAAGACAAAAGAAAACGAUAAGGCACGUAUGGACAUGAAAGAUAUUUGUAAGCGUCCUGGAUUAGAACUUUAUGAAUCUCCUAAUGGUAAGAUUGUCAAACCGCAUGCAAGGUACACAUUAUCCAAAAAACAAGUUGAAGAUGUGUGCACAUGGAUUAAGUCUCUAAAACUACCAGAUGGAUAUGCGUCAAACAUUGCAAGGUGUGUUAUGGGUGGGAAAUUGCAAGGGAUGAAGAGUCAUGACUGCAUGUGUUCAUGGAGAGAUUCAUGCCUAUAGCAUUUCGGGAUCUGCUUGAUAAACCAAUAUGGGAUGCUUUGACGGAUCUUAGUCGUUUCUUCGAAGACUUAUGUUCAAAAUCAUUAAAUGAGAAGGGCAUGUCUGUACUUGAGAAGAACAUCAAAGAGAUCACGUGUAAACUGGAAAAAAUAUUCCCACCUGGUUUUUUUGACUCCAUGGAGCAUUUGCAAAUCCAUCUUCCCUAUGAAGCUCGUGUUGGGGGUCCAGUUCAAUAUAGAUGGAUGUACCCUUUCGAGAGGGUGAUGGGUAACCUUAAGAGGAAGGUGAAGAAUAGAGCUUAUGUCGAGGGAUCGAUAUGUGAGGCAUACAGUUUCGAUGAGAUAUCUACGUUUGUCUCAAACCAUUUUCCGGACGAAGUCUUGACAAAGGCCAAUCGAGUAUCGAGACAUGAUGAUGGGAGAAAUGUUGAACUAAAUGGUCGGCUCUCUGUAUUUGGUCUAUCGGACCGCGCUUAUGGAAAAGGGAAGCGCAUAUUCCUCUCUAAGCAAGAAUUACAUGCUGCACAUACUUACAUUCUUCUCAAUUGCGAGGAGAUUGACAAAUUUGUGAGGUACACAUGUAACGUGAUAAUUUAUCUUUUAAGUUGAAAAUUUAUUCCAAUAUGUUAAUGUUUAUAAAAUGGUAUAGAUUGUACGAUGACGAGUUAAAAGUGAAGCAUCCCGGCAUAACUGAUAAAGAUAUUCAAAUCAAUNNNNNNNNNNNNNNNNNNNNNNNNNNNNNNNNNNNNNNNNNNNNNNNNNNNNNNNNNNNNNNNNNNNNNNNNNNNNNNNNNNNNNNNNNNNNNNNNNNNNNNNNNNNNNNNNNNNNNNNNNNNNNNNNNNNNNNNNNNNNNNNNNNNNNNNNNNNNNNNNNNNNNNNNNNNNNNNNNNNNNUUUGUUUUACCAACUCAAACAGUACAAGUAUACUACACUCCUAGUCCUGUUACGAAAAAGGAUAGACCGCCUACAGAUUGGCAAGUUGUAAUUCAUACUCCCACGCGUAGUCGUGUAGAAGUAGUUGAUGAGGAGAUUUAACAAGAGCAGAUGCUUCAUAGUCAAACUAUAAUAAAUGUGGAGGACGACAAUGAAGUAAUCCAGUUAGAUGGUGGAGAUGAACCACAUGAAUUAGAUCCUGACUCAAUACUUGUGUCAGAUGACAUUGAUACUGAGGAGGAAGAGUUAUUGACUGAAUCUGACACUGAAUCUGAAGCAGAUGAUGGUUAUGAAUUUGCAACACGUAUACAAGAUGAUUCUGAAUCAGACAUUGACACUUGAACAAAUGAAAUGUAUGUUUAGCAUUAUAUGUUUUUUAUAUCAUUGUCAUGUUUAUGUACUAAACUAUUUAAAUGCAACUUUUGUUUAUUGAAAUUUUAUAUUCAUAUACAUGUUUAUAUCACUGUCAUGUUUAUUGUCAUAUAUACAUCUUGAAAUUUGUAAUAUAUAGAUGGCUUCUGAAGCAGCGCAGAAAAAGCGCGGCAUGGGUAGGGGGCCUAAUCAUGUGCCCAAGGUCCCUACUAAUCUGGAUGAUCGGAUUCUUAUUCAGAUUCGCCCUCCUCCGAAUAACACGUACGUCCCGCAUAUAUAUAUCAUUUAUAUAUAAGCAUUUAAGAUUCCAUUUAUACAAUAUAUAUAGAACUUAGAUGUAAAUUGCUUUAAUAUAUCUACUUAUCGUUGAUGUAAAUUGUUGUAUAUUAUAGUGAUUUUUCAGAUAAUAAGAUCGUAAAGUGCAUAUCACAGCUGUGUUUACAGAAUUAGCCUACACCUGUGAUUACGUGGGCGAGCACACCUAUCGCCCACAAGGAUGCUGUUUGGGCUGAAUUUCAGGUAUAUUUUUUUUAAUUAUGACAUAUAAUAUAAUAUUCAAAGGAUAAUUGUUUAGUAAUGUUAUUAUUGUUGUUUUAUUUGCAGAAACGAUAUAGAUGAGAGGACGCGCAGGCUUCAGUGAUACAGACAUUAUUCUGGCAGAAGUGCGCGGUCCGCACCAAAGACAAUUUGAACAAAGAAAGACAAAAAGCCCUUCACAAUGCCGAGAUCGACCAUCCAGGCCAAGGAGAGGAUCAUAUGCACGAGCAUAGCCCCUGGUGGUGCACCCAGUCCAUAUGGGCUGAGAUGUGUGCCCAAUGGAGAGCUGAGAGCUGGGUGAAAAGACGAAAGACUGCCUCCACCAAUAGAUCCUCGGGUGUACCCGAUGGCGAAAAGGCUAAAGGGACAUACAAGGGCGACAGUAUUUCACAGUUGCAGCAUAUCACUGCCAGGGUACGUAUUUACAAGUUUUAAUAUGUUUACAAUCAUGAAUUGUAGAAAAUAUAUCACAUUUUUACUUAGUAAUAUUGUGCUAUUUUUUGUAUAGGAGUCUCAGUCCCAAAGUACACCUAUCCAUUGGCUGGAUGUGUACGUGACCACCCGUGAUGGUCUGCCUGAUACUAUCCAGAUAGCGGUAAUAAGUUUUAACAACUUGAUCUUGUUUAUCAAUGCUUACAUAAUUUAUUUUUAACUAUUUAAUUGUUAACAUGAUGACAGGAUACUUAUAAACGUUUAUUGAAUGAGCGCUAUCCUGAAGGCACUCCACGUCCGCCUAUUGAUCAAGAGUUGUGGGAGAGGACGUCUGUUGUGAAGAAGAACUAUAUUAAAGGUCAAGGACAACGACGACGCCCAUCCUUCAGUGGCUCAGGCUGCUUUUCUACCCAGUCUACACAAUCAUCGAGCCAUCCAGCUGUUCAUACUCCAGCUGACUGUGUGAGAGCUAUAUGUCGAGAUCGAGAUCUUCUGACGAUACUAGGCGGGCAUCUGGGGGCUCUGGAUCCUGAGGAGUUAGCUAAAGCAGUAGCGACAGCAGCAUCACAACAUGGGGAUGGCGACGAGGUAUAAAAUCAAUUUGUUGUAUAUAUUAUCGUAAUAUACCAAUAUUAACAUAGUUAAUAUAUAUUUGUAACUUGUUUUAUUAUUUUGUUAAUUACAGGGUGAUCAAGGAGGCGAUGAUGCUUGACGUACCUGCUUUAGAUCAAUUUUAUAGUUAUAGUAUAAGCUUGUACUUGUAUAUUCAUUCUUUGGAUGUCUGUAUGUUACUUAAACAAGUUUUGAAAUGUUAUUAUAUUUAUUCAAUUCAUAUUGGGUUCUAAAUGUUUUAAUACUAGUUUGGUGUAUGUUGGUGGAUGAUGGAUGUUUAUAUUGUUGUGAAUGUUGUUUAUAUUGUUGUGAUUGUGUGUUGGGAUAAAGCAGGUACAAAACAGGUACAUGUUUUUGGGAAUUCUGCAAAACAGCAAAAAUCUGGUUUACAUUCUGUUCAUAUCAGCGACCGCAUGCGGUCGCUGAUAGUUAAUAGUCACGGCUUAACAUUUGAGGGUAUCAGCGACCGAAUUCGGUCGCUGCCACGUGGACCACGUCAGCUUUGGUCAUGGACUAUGCUGACUCAGCUUAGCGACCGACUUUAUCAUUUCGGUUGUUCACAUCGGUCGCGGAUACGGCGGUCGCUAAUAGUGGUCGCUGAUGUACAUCCCAGCGACUAGAUUUUAUGCGACGACUACCAGCGACCGGAUUCGGUCGCGGAUGCCUAUCUGCGACCGGACGCGGUCGCUGAAAGGCGGUCGCUGAUAAACCUUUUUCUGGUAGUGUAAAUAAAGUGUGGUGAUGCUAAAAGUAACCUUACGUAACUUAAAUAUACAUGCCUAGACUAUCCUAGUGGCCAGAACUGGAAAAAUUUGGAAAAAGUACAAAAUCAGUUUUGUAAAAAAAAAGUAAGAAAAUAGCUAAGUUUGAGCUCUAUUUUGGGGAGCUUAAUGGGCAUAAACAAGAAACCUAAACCUUGAAUAAAAUACCUUGUCGUAUGGUCUAGAAGUAGGGACAAGUGGUUAAACCCUUGGCUUAACCAAGGAGUUUAAAUAAAUCACCAAACUAGCAUGGAAAAUCACUAAAACUGUAGUUUUGCAAAUUUGUCUAAGUAUAAAAAUUUGAAAAUUUUCUAUUCUACUUAGAACUCAAUUUGGACACCUUAGACAAGUCAGUUAGGGUUAUGCUAGGCUAUUCCAAGUGUUGGAAUGCUAACAUAUACAAGAACUUGAGAAGUUAGUGUGUAAAAGCUUGAAAAAGCUUGGUUUAGAGGGUCAAAACUCAAUCUAUGUUUAACAAACCUAAAGGAAUGCUAAAACUAGUUCUAAAUAGAUUUAAUUCAAGUGUUGGAAUGAACCAAAGUGGCUAGAAGUGAAAUUGUCAAGAAGUGAACAAAAUUAGUAAUCUCAAAAUGUGAAUAAUGGCCUAGUUUAGACGAAAGAUGAUAAGAUUUCUCUAUAAGGAUAUGAUUAUAAAUAUACGAAAGAUGAAAAUGAGAAGAUUUUCUCUGUAAGGAUUCCGCAUUCUUUCGUUAACAUCAAGUAUGCUUAAAUGUUAAUCAUAUGCUUACAAGUAUACUCAAGUCAUAUGAUUACAAGUAUGCUCUCAAGUCAUAUGCUUACAAGUAUGCUUAAAUGUCAUUCAUAUGCUUACAAGUAUGCUCAAGUCAUAUGGUUACAAGUAUGUUCAACUCAUAUGCUUACAAGUAUGCUUAAAUGUUAAUCAUAUGCAUGCUUACAAGUAUGCUCAAGUUAUAUGGUUACAAGUAUACUCAAGUCAUAUGUUAACAUUUAUAAUGUUGUCUGUAGUAGGUACCGUGGAAUCAUGGACCUCUAUUCAGACGUAAAUUGCUUUAAUAUAUCUCUUAUUGUAUAUAAAAUUUGUAUAUUUCUCUUGGUUUGUGUCUUGGGUGCCUAGAAAUGUCCAUAUAUGCAUGCCGUCGUGCAUGUGGCUAGUCUAUAUUGUAGGGGAGACUCUGGCGAAUUUUUUUUAAGUAUUGUAAGUAUAAAUUUGAAAAAUGUUCAUAAGUAUUAUAACUUAGAUGUAAAUUGCUUUAAUAUAUACUUAUCGUUGAUGUAAAUUGUUGUAUAUUAUAGUGAUUUUUCAGAUAAUAAGAUCGUAAAGUGCAUAUCACAGCUGUGUUUACAGAAUUGGCAUACACCUGUGAUUACGUGGGCGAGCACACCUAUCGCCCACAAGGAUGCUGUUUCGGCUGAAUUUCAGGUAUGUUUUUUUUAAUUAUGACAGAUAAUAUAAUAUUCAAAGGAUAAUUGUUUAGUAAUGUUAUUAUUGUUGUUUUAUUUGCAGAAACGAUAUAAAUGGGAGGACGCGCAGGCUUCAGUGAUACAGACAUUAUUCUGGCAGAAGUGCGCGGUCCGCACCAAAGACAAUUUAAACAAAGAAAGACAAAAAGCCCUUCACAAUGCCAAGAUCGACCAACCAGGUCAGGGAGAGGAUUACAUGUACGAGCAUAGCCCCUGGUGGUGCACCCAGUCCAUAUGGGCUGAGAUGUGUGCCCAAUGGAGAGCUGAGAACUGGGUGAAAAGACGAAAGACUGCCGCCACUAACAGAUCCUCGGGUGUACUCGAUGGCGAAAAGGCUAAAGGGACAUACAAGGGGGGGCAGUAUUUCACAGUUGCAGCAUAUCACUGCCAGGGUACGUAUUUACAAGUUUUAAUUUGUUUACAAUCAUGAAUUGUAGAAAAUAUAACACAUUUUUACUUAGUAAUAUUGUGUUAUUUUUUGUAUAGGAGUCUCAGUCUCAAGGUCAGCCUAUCCAUUGGCUGGAUGUGUACGUGGCCACCCGUGAUGGUCUGCCUGAUGCUAGCCAGAUAACGGUAAUAAAUUUUAACACCUUGAUCUUGUUUAUCAAUGCUUACAGAAUUAAUUUAUUUUUAACUAUUUAAUUGUUAACAUGAUGACAUGAUACUUAUAAGCGUUUAUUGAAUGAGCGCUAUCCUGAAGGCAUUCCACGUCCGCCUAUUGAUCAAGAGUUGUGGGAGAGGGCGUCUGUUGUGAAGAAGAACUAUAUUAAAGGUCAAGGACAACGACGACGCCCAUCCUUCAGUGGCUCAGGCUGUUCUUCUACCCAGUCUACACAGUCAUCGAGCCAUCCAGUUGUUCAUACUUCGGCUGACUGUGUGAGAGCUAUAUGUCGAGAUCGAGAUCGAGAUCUUCUGAUGAUACUGGGCGGGCAUCUGGGGGUUCUGGAUCCUGAGGAUUUAGCUAAAGCAGUAGCGGCAGCAGCAGCAUCACAACAUGGGGAUGGCAACGAGGUAUAAAAUCAAUUUGUUGUAUAUAUUAUCGUAAUAUACCAAUAUUAACAUAGUUAGUAUAUAUUUGUAACUUGUUUUAUUAUUUUGUUAAUUACAGGGUGAUCAAGGAGGCGAUGAUGCUUGACGUACCUGCUUUAUAUCAGUUUUGUAGUUAUAGUAUAAGAUUGUACUAUUAUUCUGUGUUUGGAUGUAUGUAUGUUACUUAAACAAAUUUUAAAAUGUUAUUAUUGCAUGUGUAUGUUCAUAACUUGUAUAUUCAGUUAUGUUACUUAAACUAGUUUUGAAACUAGUUUUAUGUAUGUGUUGGUGGACGAUGGAUGUUUAUAUUGUUGUGUAUGCUGUUUAUCUUGUUGUGUAUGUGUAUUGGGAUGAAGCAAGUACAAAACAGGUACAGGUUUUUGGGAAUUCUGCAAAAUAGUAAAAAAUUGGUUUUUUAUUUUUUUCAUAUCAGCGACAGCAUGCGGUCGCUGAUAAGUAUUAGCAACUGCUGACAUUUUGAGGGUAUCAGCGACUGCAUGCGGUCGCUGAUAGUGGUCGCUGACACGUGGACCACAUCAGCUUUGGCCCUGGACCAUGCUGACUCAGCUUAGCGACCGAAUUUGUCAUUUCGGUUCCUCAUAUCGGUCGCCGAUCUGGCGGUCGCUAAUAGUGGUCGCUGAUGAGCAUCUCAGCGACUAGAUUUUGUGCGACGACUAUCAGCGACUGCACUCGGUCGUUAAUAGCUGGUCGUUGAUAAACUUUUUUCUUGUAGUGGCUCUAGCUAGCGUCUGUGUCCGAGAGCCCCCGUGGGACCGUCACAUACGGGCGCUGGCUUAGACGAUGCGUUGUUCCAGCGUGUUAUGGCUACAGUGUCGGAGAGGUUUGAGACCGAUCCGCUGUCCCAUCGACAGGACCUGCCCAGCCGUUCUCGCCUCCAUCAGCUUGCGCAGGAUGUUGCAGCUGGUGCCACCGCCGAGAGUACGGGUAUCCCUUCGAAGCAGUGGGCCGCGAUAUGCGACGAGAUUGUUCGGAUGGUGGUUACCUUAGUCGAGGACGCGUUUGGGCCGAUGUUGAGUCAGCCCUCGACUGCUCAGGUAUACUAUUCGUUUUAAAUUCAAAUAUAUAUUAUGCAUGUAAUUUAAUUUUCAUUUAGUUAUCUUUAACUGAAUCAUAUAUAUGGACUAAUGAGUUGCAUUAUAUUGUAUCAACAGGGUGACGAGCGGACUAACGAGCGGGAUGACGAUGGUGGCGAUUUUCAUACUCCAGAGCAGCGUCGACGCCCGCCCGAUGAUCCUCCUCAUACCGGGGGCUCUACUAGUUUUACUUAGUUUACAUUCGUUUAAUUUGUAGUUUACAUUAUUUUUGAUGUAUUGUAGUUUAAACCUUGGCAUUUAGUUUAAUUUAGCUUAAUUAGAUGUUUGAUAUACAUUAGUUUAGAUUAAUGGGAUGUUUUUGACCUUUUUACUUAUCAUUUAGUUGGCCUUGGUAAUUGUAAUUCGUGUUAUUGGUUAUAUUGUUAGCUUGUGUAUGUGUAUGUGCUGUUGGAAUACAGGUACAGGUACAAGAUGUGGGUUAAAUCCCUGGAUAUUGCAAAAACAAAUAAAAUAUUAAAAAAAAAUCACUAUUCUCGACGGAAUAGUACUAUUAUCGACGGCAUUCCGUCGGAAAUAAGAACUUCCCUAUUUUUGUCAUGCUGCCACGUGUCAUGCUUAUCACCGACCGAAUACUAUCGACCGAAUAUUUUCAGUCGGACAUAUAGUACCCUCGACCGAAUAUUCAGUCGAUGAUAAGUCCGUCGAGGUUAAGUAUCCUCGACCGAAAGAUCGACGAACUUUAUUUCGACCUGCUUAUAUACAACCGAAUUUUCGACCGAACAUUCCGUUGGAAAUAAGAUUAGCCUCGACGGAAUAUGCUUAUUACCGACGGACGAUUCCGUCGGAAAUAACCCUUUUUGUUGUAGGGUAUUUAGUCUUAAAUUUAUUUUCUAGCUCCAGCAGGUAGACUAAAUAUAGUCUGUGACUAUAUUUGAAGCACCAACAAAACAAAAUCUAGAAACUUGAUAGUUCAUGGACUAUAAUUUUAAUUAUAUUUAAAUGGGAGAGUGGAAGGAGAUUGGAGCUUUUUUAAAUUCAUAAAUUAUUUUAAUCUUUUUAUAUUAUAGUUCACGGGAUAGUCCAUCUACUGGAAAGAUGGAAGACUAAAAGAUAUUUGUUGAUGUCAUAUGAACUAAAUAUAGUCCAUCAAAUAGACCACUAAGCUAUGUUUGACAACAAAGUUUUAAAAUUAGAGUUGAAAGCAUAUUUGCAAUUCCAAAUAAUUAUAAUUCUAGCUAAAAUAAAUAGCUCAAUUCCAGUUCCAAAGCUUAAGAAAAACAAACCAUGAGCAAAAUAUCCAAAAUAAAAACCCUAUUGCAGAAAGAAUAUCUUAUAUACUUGGAUCCCACAAUUUCUAGCUUAAUCCAAUAAAAUAAAAGAAGGGAAAAAAUCACUGAUAAAUAUUUCAAGGGAAAUUGAAGAGAACGAAAUUCACCUGAGCUUUUCAAUUUGCUUAUGCAUCUUUCUUUUGGCGGCUCAGCGUCAAAUCAACCUACACAACAGAUAAUAUGAUUACAUCAAAAUCUAUACAUGAAUAAAUACAUAACAAACAAUCCAUAAAUAUAUUUAUUAGAAAUCAAAAACCUGAUCUUGAGAAACACGAGAGAAAUCAAGAAGAUGUUGCUAGAGGAAGGAGUAGUUGAAUUAUCAGAGAAAUCCAUGACCCAUCUUCGUCCCGCCACCGACGAACAGACCAAUGAAGAUGGAGUCACCGAUGAGCAGGUAAAGAAGGGGAGGGAAAAAUUCGGGCUGAAAUUAAAAUUGCAUAUAAAAAUUCGCCUUUGCCAUCGAGCCUAGGGCUUGUAAAUUAAAAAGUCUUUCUCGAAGAAUAGCCCUAUUGAGAUUAAUUUAAAA